rnacentral:rRNA from 1 species
UGGGGAAUAUUGGACAAUGGGGGAAACCCUGAUCCAGCGACGCCGCGUGUGUGAAGAAGGCCUGCGGGUUGUAAAGCACUUUCGGUGGGAACGAAAUAUGCCGGGCUAAUACCCCGGUAGGCUGACGUUACUCAAUGAAGAAGCACCGGCUAACUCUGUGCCAGCAGCCGCGGUAAUACAGAGGGUGCGAGCGUUAAUCGGAAUUACUGGGCGUAAAGCGCACGUAGGUGGCGACGUAAGUCGGGUGUGAAAGCCCCGGGCUCAACCUGGGAACCGCAUUCGAGACUGCAUUGCUGGAGUACGGAAGAGGAGGGCGGAAUUCCCGGUGUAGCGGUGAAAUGCGUAGAUAUCGGGAGGAACAUCAGUGGCGAAGGCGGCCCUCUGGUCCAGUACUGACACUCAAGUGCGAAAGCGUGGGGAGCAAACAGGAUUAGAUACCCAUGUAGUCCCUGAGCGGGCUGGCAAGGCGCAU